rnacentral:rRNA from 1 species
CUACGGGGGGCUGCAGUGAGGAAUUUUGCGCAAUGGGGGGAACCCUGACGCAGCAACGCCGCGUGAGUGAUGAAGGCUUUCGGGUCGUAAAGCUCUGUCAAGUGGGAAGAACCUAUGCAGUGUUAAUAUCACUGUAUACUGACGGUACCACUGAAGGAAGCACCGGCUAGCUCCGUGCCAGCAGCCGCGGUAGUACGGGGGGUGCAAGCGUUAUUCGGAAUCAUUGGGCGUAAAGGGCACGUAGGCGGCUUGGUAAGUCAGCUGUGAAAGCCCGGGGCUUAACCCCGGAAGUGCAUUUGAUACUGUCAGGCUUGAGUAUGGGAGAGGGAAGUGGAAUUCCUGGUGUAGAGGUGAAAUUCGUAGAUAUCAGGAGGAACACCGGUGGCGAAGGCGACUUCCUGGACCAAUACUGACGCUGAGGUGCGAAGGCGUGGGUAGCAAACAGGAUUAGAUACCCGUGUAGUC